rnacentral:rRNA from 1 species
AGUGGCGAACGGGUGAGUAAUACGUGGGUAACCUACCCUUAAAUGGGGAAUAAUCCGUCGAAAGACGGACUAAUACCGCAUGAUGUCCUGUACCAUAUGGUACAGGGCUAAAGGUCCUAUAAAGACUGUUUAAGGAUGGGCCCGCGGCCUAUUAGCUUGUUGGUAGGGUAACGGCCUACCAAGGCUGCGAUGGGUAGCCGACCUGAGAGGGUAUACGGCCACACUGGGAUUGAGAUACGGCCCAGACUCCUACGGGAGGCAGCAGUGGGGAAUUUUGGACAAUGGGGGAAACCCUGAUCCAGCGACGCCGCGUGAGGGAUGAAGGCCUUCGGGUUGUAAACCUCUGUCAGAGAGGACGAAAUAGACGGUACUCUCAGAGGAAGCCACGGCCAACUCCGUGCCAGCAGCCGCGGUAAUAC